CCUUUUGUAAACCCUCAAGCCUUCAGACAUAAACAAACAUUGAAUCUUCACCUCGCCUCUCUCUCAAUCCUCUCUAAACCCUUAUUUUCAAUCUCACCUUCAAAUCUCACAGAUUCACCGAUUUCGAAGCUCCACCGCCACUACCAUCUUCACCCGCGAGGUAGCGAGAUUCACCGAUUCAUCGAUUUCACAGAUUCACCGAUUCAAAUCUCAUAGAUUCAUCGAUUUCAGAUCGGUCUGCACCGCCACCGCGAUUUCGAUUCAGAUCGAUCUGCGAUUUCGAUUCUCACUCUAGAUCUCUCUCUCAGAGAUUUAUCUUUGAUUUCAUCUCAGAGCGAUUUCGAUGUUUCUCUCUCGAUUUCGAAGCACCACCACCACCACCACCAUCUACACCAGCGAGUGGCUUAAUUUGAGCUGCUCCACCCCCCCCCUCUCUCUCUCUCUCUCUCUCGUUUGCUUGGGGAAGGAGGAUUCUCUUUAUGAAAGUACCUGAGACACGAAAGGCAUUGCUACUGUCUGAGAUUGA